AACACAAUAAAUAAACUAACUUCUGUCUCAGUGGCUGUUAAAGCUAGUUUUCAUUUCAUCUCAUUAAAAUGUUUUGAUUUGAUUUUACUGGAGUCUUUUAUGGACAAAUAUCACUUUAUUAAUUCCAUGUAUCCUUUUUUUUCAUUAUUAUCUCAUUCUUAUAACAAGAGCCACUAUCGUGUACACCUCGACUAUUUACUUUGUUACGAAUUUGUCUAAAAGUCAUCUCGUUUGGAAUAUCAUUAACUGAUUGCUACUACCAUUUUCUUUUCAUCUUUCCUUGAGUCAGGGUUCUAUCGUAAACAACUCCUCUAUCCUCAAGGUACGGGUAAGGUUUGCGUAUACACUAUUCUCUCCAACCCCACUUUUGGAAUCAGUCUGGGUUUAUUGUCGUUGGUGCUAUUGCUAUUGCUUCUUUUUUAUCUUUUCUUGAGCCGAUGGUCUAUCAAAAACAACUUAUCUAUCAUCACAAGGUAGGAGUAAGAUCUAAGUGCAAUCUACCCUUCUCUAACCCCACUUGUAAAUAUUACACUAGGUUUGUUGUUGUUUUAAUACUUGAUUCUAGUUUGUUCAAUGACUUUUUUUCUUGUUGGAGAUGGAAGAAGAUAAGAAGUCAAAAUUAUAUAUGUUAACUUUUGUACUCGGAACCACGCCAUCUUCUUUCAUUUGGGACAAAGAGAAUACUAUAUGGAUAUAUCUACAACUUCAAAUAUAGUAAACUUCCAAAAGAUUUUCCAAAGAAAAAGAUAAACCUUGUGUUUUUUAUAUGAUGUCCGCGCUUGCGCACACCUGGUAACUAUGUUCACCAACGCUGAGUAGUAGCAGGUACCAGGUAACUAUGUGUCUAUGUCCUCCUAGUUAGCACAACCUUGUUAACACUUCCAAAAGAUUCCAUUGCAAUACCAAAUAUAAGGAUGAACUUGAGUAAGAAAAAAACAUUACACCAUUCAUCAAUAUUCAGUCCUGUAACCAAACAAAAUUGCUGCACCAUGGAUAAUAGAUGGCCAAAAAUGUUUCUAACUAUACACAAAUAGCUUACUUUUCCACCCUACCUCUCCCGUAUACAAAAAUUUAUGAAACAAUUCCUAACACUGAGAAUAAUGAAAAGAAUUCGCGUAUGGAAAUAGCAGUGUGGAAACUGCAAGCUAAUGAUUUUUUUUCUUAGUUUUCCUUUUGUCGUCCUCUCUCUUUUGACAACUAUUGGUGCAAUUGGCAGUUGCAAUCUUGCCUGCAAGCGAGGACUGCUUCAUGGCAAAGGCG
rnacentral:lncRNA from 1 species